rnacentral:rRNA from 1 species
AACGAACGCUGGCGGCAUGCCUAACACAUGCAAGUCGAACGAUGGUCUUCGGAUCAUAGUGGCGCACGGGUGCGUAACGCGUGGGAAUCUGCCCUUGGGUUCGGAAUAACAGUUGGAAACGACUGCUAAUACCGGAUGAUGUCGAUAAGACCAAAGAUUUAUCGCCCGAGGAUGAGCCCGCGUCGGAUUAGCUAGUUGGUGGGGUAAAGGCCUACCAAGGCGACGAUCCGUAGCUGGUCUGAGAGGAUGAUCAGCCACACUGGGACUGAGACACGGCCCAGACUCCUACGGGAGGCAGCAGUGGGGAAUAUUGGACAAUGGGCGCAAGCCUGAUCCAGCAAUGCCGCGUGAGUGAUGAAGGCCUUAGGGUUGUAAAGCUCUUUUAACCGGGAAGAUAAUGACUGUACCGGGAGAAUAAGCCCCGGCUAACUCCGUG